rnacentral:tRNA from 1 species
GCCGGGGUGGUGGAAAUGGCAGACACAUACGUUUGAGGGGCGUAGGCCGAAAGGUGUGCGGGUUCAACUCCCGCCCCCGGCA